rnacentral:lncRNA from 1 species
CGUCUUGGUGAAACUCUGGCACUGAGAUGCGUCCCUGUCUGGCGCUUGCCAGCUCCAGGCAUGGGAUAUUAGAGUCCUGAACGCGGCUCGACCCCUGCAUACUCAUUGCUCGCGCAGGAGGCUGAACACGUAGCUCACGUCUAGGGAAAGGUGAUGGUUCAAGGCCAAGAGAGUGGGCCAUGAACAGAAGAAAUUAGAAAGAGGCAAAGACUGUUGUAAAUGUCACCAUAGAUAAUUCUCCAACUGGAAGCCUACGUUUCUCUCAGAAAUGUGCGGAACUUAAGAAUGCCUUGGAGCGCAUCAGCGUGUGCCACCAAAGACUACGAUGGCUGAAAACAGCUUUAAAAUGCUGAAGAUCCAGCAGUGUGUAGCCAACAAACUACCUAGGAACAGGCCUUAUAUUUGCAAUAUCUGCUUCAAGCACUUUGAAACACCGUCCAAGUUAGCUAGGCAUUAUCUGAUUCAUACUGGUCAAAAGCCAUUCGAAUGUGAUGCAUGUCAUAAAAACUUUAGACAGCUUGUUCAUCUGGAGAGGCACCAGUUAACUCACAAUCUGCCUUUUAGCUGUAAUAUUUGCCAGCGCCACUUUAAAAAUCUGAAGACAUUUGUGAGGCAUCAACAGCUUCACAAUGAGUCCUGUCAUAGUGAUAUCAAAGUCAGAAGACUGCUUGAGACCAAGCAAGAGAAGCCUGUGUAUGGAGCAUAUAGUGCUUUUACUGCAGACGAGAGACGGGCACUACACCCAUGCUCUAAGUCUGAUCCCACGUACAGCACCACGGAGAGAAGAAAGAAUAUUCAUGCAUGUACAAUCUGUGGCAAAAUGUUCCCAUCGCAGUCAAAACUUGAUAGGCAUGCCCUUAUUCAUACUGGGCAGAGGCCUUUUAAAUGUGUCCUGUGCAGUAAAUCUUUCCGACAGUCAACCCACUUAAAAAUCCACCAACUCACACAUUCAGAAGAAAGACCUUUUCAAUGUUGUUUUUGUCAAAAAGGAUUUAAGAUUCAAAGCAAACUUCUGAAGCAUAAACAAAUCCACACUAGGAAUAAGACUUUUCAGAAUCUUCCUUUAAAAGUAAAGAGUCCAGAGUCAUGUCCCCUACCUAAUAAAUUAAAUGCAAAGCAGGACGCUUUUGAAAGUGGUGAUAUGGGUGAAUCUGAGGAGAAGAAUCCUCUUGAUGUCCACUCUAUUUAUAUUGUUCCUUUCCAGUGUUCAGAGUGUGAAGAAUGUUUUGAGUCAGAGCAGAUUCUCAAUGGACACAAGUGUCUUCCUGCCAGAGGUGGCAGAAUUCCAGGCAGACUCAAAAGAAGCUGUAACUAUAAGACCAUUGUUAAAAAGCUCUUGGCUAAACUUAAACGUGCUGGGGGUAAAAAAUCAGAUAACCUCCAAUCAGAGAAAAGAACAUUUAAAAGCAACUGCUUGAAAAAUUGCGAAUGUACUUCUGGUAAGGCGAACAUGGAACAAACUCAGAGAACAUUUGUGGGUUCUCUUAGCAGACAUGGGUCUUACAAGACAGUUAGCAAAAAAAAGAAAACACUGACUUUACCAUUUUCUUGGCAAAAGCAAUUCCAGAGCCAAAAUAUGGGUAAGAGUUUGCAAGGCAUCCUUAAGACGGGAAGCAUAUUAACUAUGGAUGGUUCAGUCAGUAAUAAAGACCUGUCAAUCUAUGGUUCA